GGUGGUGUCCACCUCUUCCCAUUCCGAACAGAGAAGUUAAGCCCACCAGAGCCGAUGGUACUGCGGUAACACGUGGGAGAGUAGGUCGGUGCCAGAU
rnacentral:rRNA from 1 species